GGGCCGUUAGCUCAGAUGGCUAGAGCACUACAUUCGCAUUGUAGAGGUCGUGGGUUCGAAUCCCGCACGGUCCACCA
rnacentral:tRNA from 1 species